rnacentral:rRNA from 1 species
UAGGGAAUAUUGGGCAAUGGGCGAGAGCCUGACCCAGCCAUGCCGCGUGCAGGAUGAAGGCCUUCUGGGUUGUAAACUGCUUUUAUCAGGGAAGAAAGGGGCGCUGCGGCGCACGUUGACUGUACCUGAAGAAUAAGCACCGGCUAACUCCGUG